rnacentral:rRNA from 1 species
UAUGUAGGGGGCAAGCGUUGUCCGGAAUCAUUGGGCGUAAAGCGCGUGUAGGCGGCCAGAAAAGUCCGCUGUGAAAACUCGAGGCUCAACUUCGAGCUGUCGGUGGAAACUUUCUGGCUAGAGUCCGGAAGAGGAGAAUGGAAUUCACGGUGUAGCAGUGAAAUGCGUAGAUAUCGUGAGGAACACCAGAGGCGAAGGCGGCUACCUGGACAAUUGCUGACGCUCAGGCACGAAAGCGUGGGGAGCAAAAGGG